UAAAACUUUCAACAACGGAUCUCUUGGUUCCGGCAUCGAUGAAGAACGCAGCGAAAUGCGAUACGUAAUGUGAAUUGCAGAAUUCAGUGAAUCAUCGAGUCUUUGAACGCACAUUGCGCCCCCUGGUAUUCCGGGGGGCAUGCCUGUCCGAGCGUCA
rnacentral:rRNA from 1 species